rnacentral:rRNA from 1 species
GACGAACGCUGGCGGCGUGCUUAACACAUGCAAGUCGAACGAAGUGGCGAACGGGUGAGUAACGCGUAAUCAACCUGCCCUUAAGAGGGGGACAACAGUUGGAAACGACUGCUAAUACCGCAUACUGAAGGAGGGGAUUGCGUCUGAUUAGCUAGUUGGAGGGGUAACGGCCCAACAAGGCGAGGAUCAGUAGCCGGGCGGAGAGGAUGAACGGCCACAUUGGGACUGAGACAAGGCCCAGACUCCUAAGGGAGGCAGCAGGGGGGAAUCUUCCGCAAGGGACGAAAGUCUGACGGGGCAACGCCGGGGGAGUGAUGACGGCCUUCGGGUUGUAAAGCUCUUUUAAUCGGGGCGCGGUACCGGAAUAGAAAGCCACGGCUAACUACGUGCCAGCCGCCGCGGUAAUAC